rnacentral:lncRNA from 1 species
UCCUCAACAAAUCAAAUGUUGACUGAUAAAAUCAAGGAAAAAACCAAUUACACAAAAGGAUUUAAAAUAAAAUAUAGCAAUUAAAAGAUUGAGGGUGGAAAUAAAAAAAAAUAGAAGACACGAGCAAUUCUUUGAUCAGGGGAUUAAAUUGAAAAUAAAAAAUAUUAACAAUAUGAAAAACAAAAUAAAAGUAUGAGGACCAAAUUAAAAA